AGAGUUUGAUCCUGGCUCAGACGAACGCUGGCGGCGUGCUAAUACAUGCAAGUCGAGCGAGCGGAACCAACAGAUUUACUUCGGUAAUGACGUUGGGAAAGCGAGCGGCGGAUGGGUGAGUAACACGUGGGGAACCUGCCCCUAAGUCUGGGAUACCAUUUGGAAACAGGUGCUAAUACCGGAUAAUAAAGCAGAUCGCAUGAUCAGCUUUUGAAAGGCGGCGUAAGCUGUCGCUAAGGGAUGGCCCCGCGGUGCAUUAGCUAGUUGGUAAGGUAACGGCUUACCAAGGCGACGAUGCAUAGCCGAGUUGAGAGACUGAUCGGCCACAUUGGGACUGAGACACGGCCCAAACUCCUACGGGAGGCAGCAGUAGGGAAUCUUCCACAAUGGACGCAAGUCUGAUGGAGCAACGCCGCGUGAGUGAAGAAGGUUUUCGGAUCGUAAAGCUCUGUUGUUGGUGAAGAAGGAUAGAGGUAGUAACUGGCCUUUAUUUGACGGUAAUCAACCAGAAAGUCACGGCUAACUACGUGCCAGCAGCCGCGGUAAUACGUAGGUGGCAAGCGUUGUCCGGAUUUAUUGGGCGUAAAGCGAGCGCAGGCGGAAAAAUAAGUCUAAUGUGAAAGCCCUCGGCUUAACCGAGGAACUGCAUCGGAAACUGUUUUUCUUGAGUGCAGAAGAGGAGAGUGGAACUCCAUGUGUAGCGGUGGAAUGCGUAGAUAUAUGGAAGAACACCAGUGGCGAAGGCGGCUCUCUGGUCUGCAACUGACGCUGAGGCUCGAAAGCAUGGGUAGCGAACAGGAUUAGAUACCCUGGUAGUCCAUGCCGUAAACGAUGAGUGCUAAGUGUUGGGAGGUUUCCGCCUCUCAGUGCUGCAGCUAACGCAUUAAGCACUCCGCCUGGGGAGUACGACCGCAAGGUUGAAACUCAAAGGAAUUGACGG
rnacentral:rRNA from 1 species